AGAGUUUGAUCCUGGCUCAGAUUGAACGCUGGCGGAAUGCUUUACACAUGCAAGUCGAACGGCAGCAUAGAGAGCUUGCUCUCUGAUGGCGAGUGGCGAACGGGUGAGUAAUAUAUCGGAACGUGCCUAGUAAUGGGGAACAACUAAUCGAAAGAUUAGCUAAUACCGCAUACGACCUACGGGUGAAAGCAGGGGAUCUUCGGACCUUGCGUUAUUAGAGCGGCCGAUAUCUGAUUAGGUAGUUGGUAGGGUAAAAGCCUACCAAGCCGACGAUCAGUAGCUGGUCUGAGAGGACGAUCAGCCACACUGGAACUGAGACACGGUCCAGACUCCUACGGGAGGCAGCAGUGGGGAAUUUUGGACAAUGGGGGCAACCCUGAUCCAGCCAUUCCGCGUGAGUGAAGAAGGCCUUCGGGUUGUAAAGCUCUUUCGCAAGAGAAGAAAUCUUGUCGUCUAAUAAACGACAAGGAUGACGGUACCUUGACAAGAAGCACCGGCUAACUAUGUGCCAGCAGCCGCGGUAAUACAUAGGGUGCAAGCGUUAAUCGGAAUUACUGGGCGUAAAGCGUUCGCAGGCUGUUUUACAAGUCAGAUGUGAAAUCCCCGGGCUCAACUUGGGAACUGCGUUUGAAACUGUAAGACUAGAGUGUGUCAGAGGGGGGUAGAAUUCCAUGUGUAGCAGUGAAAUGCGUAGAUAUGUGGAGGAAUACCAAUGGCGAAGGCAGCCCCCUGGGAUAACACUGACGCUCAUGAACGAAAGCGUGGGGAGCAAACAGGAUUAGAU
rnacentral:rRNA from 1 species